UCUCUCUGUCUCUCUUUUUGACGUUGGCUCUGGGAUCCGAAGGCAGCUGGAGGACAGGAAUCGGGCAGAACUUGCACCUUUGACACCACAUAGCUGCACUACAGACAUGUCGGACUCUGAGACCUCUGCUGCUCCCGCUGAGGCCCCCGUCCCUGUAGCUUGUGCCAGCAUCAAGGCAGACCUGGACAAAUGUGUCGCAGAGAAGGGAGCUGAGGGCUGCAAAGACCUGAUGGAGGCUUUUGCUGCAUGUGUGAAGAGUGCUGCUGAGGGGACAUCGUGAGGAGUCCAAACAAAAAUGUCCAAUGCACUUGAGUUCUCCAAGUUCCCAGCAUUCCCUUCUGCACACCAGCCCUGGACCGAAUGAUGAUAACAACAAGGAUGAUGAUGAUGAUGAUGAUGAUGAUGAUGAUGAUGAUGAUGAUGAUGAUGAUGAUAGUGUGUUGAUUGAGCUGAGUGUGGAACCUGACAACAGUAACAACAAAUUUAUCCUGUUUUUCCUGUGUUUUUAGUCCUAUCCGAUGUCUCUCAAGCUUAGUGCCAUGUCCUUUCACCCUACAGCUGAUGCAGUACACUGACAAUCCAGAAGCCCCAAUAGGCUGUGAUUUAACCUGUUAACUUGAGAUGUAAACUUAUAAAUGGAAAUAAAGUAUAAAAUAAUUGAUAUAAAAACA